rnacentral:tRNA from 1 species
GCGCCGGUGGUGUAAUGGCCUAGAACUUCCCUGCCCGGUCAGCAGGAGGUGUGGGUUCGAGUCCCGCCUGGUGCG